rnacentral:tRNA from 2 species
GGCUUAGCUCAGCUGGGAGAGCAUCUGCCUUACAAGCAGAGGGUCGGGGGUUCGAUCCCCUCAGCCUCCACCA